rnacentral:rRNA from 1 species
GGUUAAGUGACUAAGCGUACAUGGUGGAUGCCUUGGCAGUCAGAGGCGAUGAAGGACGUACUAACCUGCGAUAAGCCGUGAGCAGUCGGUAAGAGACAUUACGACUCACGGAUUUCCGAAUGGGGAAACCCACUUAGCAUAAGCUAGGUAUCGCUGCGUGAAUACAUAGCGUAGCGAGGCGAACCGGGAGAACUGAAACAUCUAAGUACCCCGAGGAAAAGAAAUCAACCGAGAUUCCCUCAGUAGCGGCGAGCGAACGGGGAUUAGCCCUUAAGCAUCUUGGAAGUUAGUGGAACGGUCCUGGAAAGGCCGGCGAUACAGGGUGAUAGCCCCGUACACGAAAACAACCUUGAUGUGAAAUCGAGUAGGGCGGGACACGUGACAUCCUGUCUGAAUAUGGGGGGACCAUCCUCCAAGGCUAAAUACUCCUGACUGACCGAUAGUGAACCAGUACCGUGAGGGAAAGGCGAAAAGAACCCCUGUGAGGGGAGUGAAAUAGAACCUGAAACCGUGUACGUACAAGCAGUGGGAGCCCUUCGGGGUGACUGCGUACCUUUUGUAUAAUGGGUCAGCGACUUACAUUUUGUAGCGAGGUUAACCGUAUAGGGGAGCCGUAGGGAAACCGAGUCUUAACUGGGCGUCUAGUUGCAAGGUGUAGACCCGAAACCGGGUGAUCUAGCCAUGGGCAGGUUGAAGGUUGAGUAACAUCAACUGGAGGACCGAACCCACUAACGUUGCAAAGUUAGGGGAUGACCUGUGGCUGGGGGUGAAAGGCCAAUCAAACUCGGAGAUAGCUGGUUCUCCCCGAAAGCUAUUUAGGUAGCGCCUCGGACGAAUACUACUGGGGGUAGAGCACUGUUUGGGCUAGGGGGUCAUCCCGACUUACCAACCCCAUGCAAACUCCGAAUACCAGUAAGUAAUAUCCGGGAGACACACGGCGGGUGCUAACGUCCGUCGUGAAGAGGGAAACAACCCAGACCGCCGGCUAAGGUCCCAAAGUUCUGGUUAAGUGGGAAACGAUGUGGGAAGGCUCAGACAGCUAGGAUGUUGGCUUAGAAGCAGCCAUCAUUUAAAGAAAGCGUAAUAGCUCACUAGUCGAGUCGGCCUGCGCGGAAGAUGUAACGGGGCUCAAACCAGGCACCGAAGCCGCGGAUUCACACUUAUGUGUGAGUGGUAGGGGAGCGUUCUGUAAGUCUGCGAAGGUGUAUCGAGAGGUAUGCUGGAGAUAUCAGAAGUGCGAAUGCUGACGUAAGUAACGAUAAAGGGGGUGAAAAGCCUCCUCGCCGGAAGACCAAGGGUUCCUGUCCAACGUUAAUCGGGGCAGGGUGAGUCGACCCCUAAGG